rnacentral:rRNA from 1 species
UACGUAGGCAGCAAGCGUUGUUCGGAAUUACUGGGCGUAAAGAGUGUGUAGGUGGUGCUCCAAGUCUGUUGUGAAAUCUCCCGGCUCAACUGGGAGGGUGCAGCGGAAACUGGAAUGCUUGAGGGUGGGAGAGGAAAGCGGAAUUCCUGGUGUAGCGGUGAAAUGCGUAGAUAUCAGGAGGAACACCCGUGGUGUAGACAGCUUUCUGGACCAUUUCUGACACUGAGACACGAAAGCGUGGGUAG